UGGGGAAUAUUGGACAAUGGGCGCAAGCCUGAUCCAGCCAUGCCGCGUGGGUGAAGAAGGCCCUAGGGUUGUAAACCCCUUUCAGCGGGGAAGAUUAAUGACGGUACCCGCAGAAGAAGCCCCGGCUAACUCCGUGCCAGCAGCCGCGGUAAUACGGAGGGGGCUAGCGUUGUUCGGAAUUACUGGGCGUAAAGCGCGCGUAGGCGGACCUGCAAGUCGGGGGUGAAAGCCCGAGGCUCAACCUCGGAACUGCCUUCGAUACUGCGGGUCUCGAGUCCGGGAGAGGUGAGUGGAAUUCCUAGUGUAGAGGUGAAAUUCGUAGAUAUUAGGAAGAACACCAGUGGCGAAGGCGGCUCACUGGCCCGGUACUGACGCUGAGGCGCGAAAGCGUGGGGAGCAAACAGGAUUAGAUACCCGUGUAGUCCCUGAGCGGGCUGGCAAGGCG
rnacentral:rRNA from 1 species